UGGGGAAUAUUGCACAAUGGGCGCAAGCCUGAUGCAGCAACGCCGCGUGAACGAUGAAGGUCUUCGGAUCGUAAAGUUCUGUUGCAGGGGAAGAUAAUGACGGUACCCUGUGAGGAAGCCCCGGCUAACUACGUGCCAGCAGCCGCGGUAAUACGUAGGUGGCAAGCGUUGUCCGGAAUUAUUGGGCGUAAAGCGCGCGCAGGUGGUUUAGAAAGUCUGAUGUGAAAGCCCACGGCUCAACCGUGGAGGGUCAUUGGAAACUAAUAAACUUGAGUGCAGGAGAGAAAAGUGGAAUUCCUAGUGUAGCGGUGAAAUGCGUAGAGAUUAGGAGGAACACCGGUGGCGAAAGCGGCUUUUUGGUCUGCAACUGACACUGAGGCGCGAAAGCGUGGGGAGCAAACAGG
rnacentral:rRNA from 1 species